AGUGAACGCUGGCGGUAGGCCUAACACAUGCAAGUCGAACGGCAGCACAGUAAGGGCUUGCUCUUACGGGUGGCGAGUGGCGGACGGGUGAGGAAUACAUCGGAAUCUACUUUUUCGUGGGGGAUAACGUAGGGAAACUUACGCUAAUACCGCAUACGACCUACGGGUGAAAGCAGGAGAUCUUCGGACCUUGCGCGACUGAAUGAGCCGAUGUCGGAUUAGCUAGUUGGCGGGGUAAAGGCCCACCAAGGCGACGAUCCGUAGCUGGUCUGAGAGGAUGAUCAGCCACACUGGAACUGAGACACGGUCCAGACUCCUACGGGAGGCAGCAGUGGGGAAUAUUGCACAAUGGGCGCAAGCCUGAUCCAGCCAUACCGCGUGGGUGAAGAAGGCCUUCGGGUUGUAAAGCCCUUUUGUUGGGGAAGAAAAGCAGCAGGUUAAUACCCCGCUGUUCUGACGGUACCCAAAGAAUAAGCCCCGGCUAACUUCGUG
rnacentral:rRNA from 1 species